GGCGUUGCCAGACGUUGUAAACGGUCAGGGCUCAGCCCAAACCUGUAGGGGUUGGGGGGUCCGGGGGCACUGCUGGCUUAUU